rnacentral:ncRNA from 1 species
UUAUUUGAGAGUUUGAUCCUGGCUCAGGAUGAACGCUGGCGGCGUGCUUAACACAUGCAAGUCGAGCGAAGCAUUAAAACAGAUUUCUUCGGAAAGAAGUUUUAAUGACUGAGCGGCGGACGGGUGAGUAACGCGUGGGUGACCUGCCUCAUACAGGGGGAUAACAGACAGAAAUGUCUGCUAAUACCGCAUAAGCGCACAGUGCUGCAUGGCACAGUGUGAAAAACUCCGGUGGUAUGAGAUGGACCCGCGUCUGAUUAGCUAGUUGGUAAGGUAACGGCUUACCAAGGCGACGAUCAGUAGCCGGCCUGAGAGGGUGAACGGCCACAUUGGGACUGAGACACGGCCCAAACUCCUACGGGAGGCAGCAGUGGGGAAUAUUGCACAAUGGGGGAAACCCUGAUGCAGCGACGCCGCGUGAAGGAAGAAGUAUUUCGGUAUGUAAACUUCUAUCAGCAGGGAAGAAAAUGACGGUACCUGACUAAGAAGCCCCGGCUAACUACGUGCCAGCAGCCGCGGUAAUACGUAGGGGGCAAGCGUUAUCCGGAUUUACUGGGUGUAAAGGGAGCGUAGACGGCAUGGCAAGUCUGGUGUGAAAGGCAGGGGCUCAACCCCUGGACUGCAUUGGAAACUGUCAGGCUGGAGUGCAGGAGAGGUAAGUGGAAUUCCUAGUGUAGCGGUGA